GAUGAACGCUAGCUACAGGCUUAACACAUGCAAGUCGAGGGGAAACGACAUCGAAAGCUUGCUUUUGAUGGGCGUCGACCGGCGCACGGGUGAGUAACGCGUAUCCAACCUGCCCACCACUUGGGGAUAACCUUGCGAAAGUAAGACUAAUACCCAAUGAUAUCUCUAGAAGACAUCUGAAAGAGAUUAAAGAUUUAUCGGUGAUGGAUGGGGAUGCGUCUGAUUAGCUUGUUGGCGGGGUAACGGCCCACCAAGGCAACGAUCAGUAGGGGUUCUGAGAGGAAGGUCCCCCACAUUGGAACUGAGACACGGUCCAAACUCCUACGGGAGGCAGCAGUGAGGAAUAUUGGUCAAUGGACGAGAGUCUGAACCAGCCAAGUAGCGUGCAGGAAGACGGCCCUAGGGGUUGUAAACUGCUUUUAUAAGGGAAUAAAGUGAGUCUCGUGAGACUUUUUGCAUGUACCUUAUGAAUAAGGACCGGCUAAUUCCGUG
rnacentral:rRNA from 1 species